AACGAACGCUGGCGGCAUGCCUAACACAUGCAAGUCGAACGAGACCUUCGGGUCUAGUUGCGCACGGGUGCGUCACGCGUGGGAACCUGCACUUAGGUUCGGAAUAACUCUCCGCAAGGGGUGCUAAUACCGGACAAUGUCUUCGGACCAAAGAUUUAUCGCCUCUGGAUGGGCGCGCUUUGGAUUAGCUAGUUGGUAAGGUAAAAGACUACCCAGGCGACGUUACCUAGCUGGUCUGAGAGGAUGAGCAGCCACACUGGGGGAGGGACACGGCUCGGACUUCUGCGGAAGGCAGCAAUGCUGAAUAUGGGACGAUGGGCGAGUGAAGGAGGCUGUAAGGUCGUGAGAGUCAUGAAGUCGUGAAGGUUGUAAAGGACUGUGGAAAGCGCAGAUAGUGACGGUACCUAAAGAGUAAGCGCCGGCUAACUCCGUG
rnacentral:rRNA from 1 species